rnacentral:lncRNA from 1 species
UAUGGAGAGCAAUAAUGCUGAAAGAAAGCUAGGAGGAAGUCAGUGAUGCAUUUGCAUUCUGACGGAAGAGAAAAGGCUGCUGCAAUUUCAUGGCACUGUCCAUGCAGAGCAGGGAGCACAAAGUGCAAGAUUGCCUUUGUACAGCUAUGGAGAAGGGAAAACGGAAAUGCUGAUCCUGACGUCCACACGCAGUAGUGCUGUUGCAGUGACUGCAAGGAAAAACCUGCUAAUUGCUCCUACCUUGUGAAGGUUCAAGAUGCAUGCACUUGAAAAUUCAGACAAGAAACCUAUAAAGCUUCGAGUCAGACUGCAAACACCGUUUUCAGGUUGUGAAAACACUGUUUUCGAGACUCGCGUUGGCAGGAAAGGUUUGAUCACAUGUAUAUAUCGGAACAGAAGUAGGAGUGAAAUUCCAAGAUACUUUGGCUUUCUGCUGUCAAAUAUUCCACAGCACAAAGGCAAUACUUAACACUUAGAGGGCGUAACAGCAGCAAAAUGUCCAAACGUCCUAUGUGUCCACAUGUCAAAUCUCUUCUGUGCAUCCUUGCUGUGUCCCCCCAGCAGACUCCCGCACCGCACUAAAUUACCACAAGCAAGCAGUAACCAUGGGCCAGACAUCUUGGAGGAAUGCUUACUUUGCUAUCCAAACCACUCUGAUGUACCGGAACUUUAUGUCACUCCAUAGCUAUGAGCAUGUAAUGGAGAGACUCGAAUGGCCUCAGGACCCGCACCUUGUGAGCCGGCAGGGAGCUGGGCCUGGAGACGUGGCUGCUGAUAUACGUGAAUAUAUGAACAGAACAAGAUGCCUGGCAUUGCCAAAGUACAUCCUGACCUCCCAUCCCUGCCUGACUCCCCCAGCAGUUUCCCUGGAGGUGUGAUUGUUUAUAUGGG